GGCCCAGCUGGUUCAUUAUUUAUUUUUAUUUACAUAGUGAAUUCUCUGGCAUUUGUCUUCCCUGCUGGAACCACUCAGACCAGCCAAGAUUUCCAAAACAGAGUUCUAUUGUGGAAACAAGCACCAGAGACUUGGUACGCUAGAUCAGUUUCCGUGACAGGCUACAGAGGGCCCCAGGGCACAAGCUGGGGUGUACUGUUUCUACC
rnacentral:lncRNA from 1 species